rnacentral:rRNA from 1 species
UACGGAGGGGGCGAGCGUUGUCCGAAGUUACUGGGCGUAAAGGGCGCGUAGGCGGGGUGUCACGUCCGCUGUGAAAGCCUGGAGCUUAACUCCAGCGGGUCGGUGGAUACGGGCACUCUUGAAGGCGUUAGGGGAAGAUGGAAUUACCCGUGGAGCGGUGAAAUGCGUAGAGAUGGGUAGGAACACCAGUGGCGAAGGCGACUUCCUGGCCUGUUCUUGACGCUGAGGCGCGAAAGCUAGGGGAGCAAACGGG